rnacentral:lncRNA from 1 species
GUUGCUUUCAGUGGCUACAUUGUUCUUGCAGUUAUUUCCAUCAUAACAGUGUCACACAUAUUUCCUCAGCUGAAAUGGUAUCAUGUGCUAAUCACAUACCUCAUUGCUCCUGUUCUGGCCUUCUGCAAUGCCUAUGGAUGUGGCCUCACUGAUUGGUCCUUGGCAUCAAACUAUGGCAAAGUGGCCAUCAUAAUAUUCAGUUCAUGGGUUGGCCUUGAGAAUGGAGGCAUCAUUGCAGGCCUUGCAUCAUGUGGUGUGAUGAUGAGCAUUGUUUCAACAGCUUCUGAUUUGAUGCAAGAUUUCAAAACUGGUUACCUCACCCUUGCAUCUCCAAGGUCCAUGUUUGUGAGCCAAGUUUUAGGUACUGCCACAGGGUGUCUUGUGUCCCCUUUGAUGUUUUGGUUCUUCCACAAGGCCUACACACUUGGUGACCCUAAAGGCUCAUACCCUGCACCCUAUGGAGAAGUGUACAGAGGAAUGGCCCUUCUAGGAGCAAAGGGUUUCUCUUCUCUCCCCAAACAUUGUCUUCACUAGCUAUCAUAUUCUUUUUCUUGGCUGUGUUCAUUAACAUAGUGCGUGAUUUGUUGGUGCAUUAUGAGACCAAGUAUAGAAUAUACAGAUUUGUUCCUAAUGCCAUGGCUUUGGCCAUCCCCUUCUAUCUUGGUGGGUACUUUGCUAUUGACAUGUGCAUUGGGAGCUUGAUUCUGUUUUUGUGGGAGAAAAGGAACAGAACAAAGGCAAAUGAUUUUGGUCCUGUUUUAGCAUCUGGACUUAUAUGUGGUGAUUCUUUGUGGAGUGUUCCUGCUGCUAUACUGGCUCUUGCUGGAGCCAGUCCACCAAUCUGCAUGAAGUUCUUGUCUAGUGCUGUAAAUAAGAAGGUUGACACCUUCUUGGAUGGUGGUCCUUGAUGCUUCUUCGGUUGGAUGAUGAUGUUCAUGUGAAAUUAAGGAAUGAUCAAAUAUUGUACUUGGAUUUCUCAUUAUACAACUUCUCUUUUCUAAAUAAAUAUGGAGACUUGGGUAUGUAACUGUACAUGUUGAAUUGUUUUCACUUUUAUCUUUGUAAAAAGAUUCUUUCUUUUUUAUCUCUACAAAAAAAUUAUGAAACCAUUAUUCUAUGUUUGUGGUAAUAUAUGUCACACUUGUUAAUUAUUUAUGUGUCUAAGGAGGGUUGUAUGUAUGGUAAUCUCUAUCUCUAGUAUAUGCAGAUCAUGUUAGUUAACACUUGAAUUUUUAAGGAUUUUUUUAUAAUGGGGUAAUUUUUUCCCUUUUCUACCAAAAAGAAGUGUUUUUGAAAAAAUUACAGAUAUGAGAACAAUGUGACACGACUUUUCUGAUAUGUCAAGGUGAAGUUAUGUCAAUGUGACACAACUUCAUGAACGGAAUUCGAGUCACUUUGGUAUGAUUUCAUCUUAGUACAACUUCACCUACUCAUGUUAAAAACGUGUCGUCUUAGCAUGACUUCUUUUGCGUUGGUAUGAUUUCUCCAUAUCUAUAAGUUUUCCCAAAACAACCACAUUUCGAUAAAAAAGAGGAAAAUUGUCCCGCUUAGUAAAAUUUCACUUUUUAAACCCUAUUCCUUUAGUCUGUGUGCUUUUUUUUUCUUCUAUGGUAUUUUAUUUUAAUAAUUUAAAAUUAUACAUUAAUUUAUAAAUUUAGUAAAUUUAUUUUAAUAAAAUAUUUAUAUUACUAUUUUAUAUUAAAAUGUGUAAUUUAUAACUAGAAUAAAAAUAAUGCGAGGGAAAUAGUUGGAACUGUGCAAUAAUCUUUAUUGGAUACAUAAUUUAUAUCCAUGAUUACCUUGGAGGAUGUCGUAAAAGAAUAGAAAAUUUUUCACACUCUCACAAAACUUAAACUUUAAAGAUUAAUGUGAAUAUAAUUUACUUUAUUUAGGAGAUAGAAAUGAAAACAAAUUAUUAUUAUCAUAUUUUUUUAUCAAUUUUUAUAUAUAAUAUUAGUGGAUUAGUUAAUAUAAAUUUGAGUUGUCAUUUUAAAAUAAUUCUUAUGUUUAUCUUUAUCAAUCUCAUGGAAAAAAAUUGCUUUAAAUCAAUUUCAUAUCUUUUAACUUAUAAAAUUAAAUAUGCAGGUAGUUGGAAAUUAAAUAUUUGUUUUCUAUCAUUCAGACUAAAAAAUAAACAAAUAUUUUCAAAACAGAAAACAGAAACAUUUUUGUAUUCUUUAUUAUCUUUUGAUUUUCAAAACUAAAUAUCUUUAAUCCUCUAAAAAAUCUCUCUGUUCAAGAGAAAAAAAAAACAGAGGACACAAGAAACAGAGGAAACAAGAGACUCAAAGCAGAGCUUAGAACUGAAUCUUCUGGUUUUGAUUGAGAAGGUGAGAAAAAAGUGAUCUUUGAUUUGAACAUGGAAGAAGAGGGUAAGGCGAAGGGUGAAGAGGCAUUCAGGAACACAAGGGUGCCACCAUGGACGAAGCAAAUCACAGUGAGAUCAGUGGUGACAAGCUUUGUUCUGAGUGUGGUUUUCAACUUCAUCGUGUGCAAACUGAACUUCACGACAGGGAUCAUUCCAUCGCUGAAUGUAGCUGCAGGGUUGUUGGGGUUUGCAUUGAUAAAGUCCUACACUACACUCCUCAGCAACUGUGGCCUUCUGGGAGAACCUUUCACACGUCAAGAGAACACUGUCAUUCAGACCUUUGUUGUUGCAGCAUCUGGAAUUGCAUUCAGCAGUGAGUUUUUUUUUUUUUUUUUUUGGUCAACUUGUCACCCUUUUUUUAAUUUUGAUACUUUUAAAAAAGAAUAACUUGUUCUUUCGUCGUGGUAAAAGUGUUUGUAUGAAUCUUUAUUUACAUUAAAAAAAUUUAUACGUCAUUGUCAUUUUUAUAUUUACUUAUUAGACAUUAAAUUUUAUUUUAUUAAAAUAUUAAAGAUUGAUUUGAUUUUAUUGCUUUUUCAAUUAUCUAAAAAGUUAUAUUAUCAAACAAAAUUAUAAAAAAAAAAUUAACCUUUUUUAAGAUUAAAGACCACCUCCCAUAGGACAGAUUACCAAUUUUAAUCUAUAUAGUCACAACCCAACUUGUCUACCGUUUUGCCACUCCUAUAAUGUAUUUUUCUAUAACUUUUUUUUAUAUGUUUUCACAUAAUUUUCUAUAAAAAUAAGUUUUUUUUUUAAUUUCUUAGCUAUUGAUAAAAAUAAAUCUAUAUACACAUAACCAACAUGCAAUGAAACUCUUUAUCCUUCAUUUUGGCUUAGGGGUAAUAGAUUAAAACAAGUAAAUUUAUGAUUUACUUUCAGUUUGUUACUACUCCCUGUUGAAGAUUUCAGAGAUGAAAAUUUGCAUGAAUAUUUGUUGUUGUUCUUAAAGAAUUCGCCUUUUAAAUUUCCCAAAUUUUGAUGAAUACUAUGUUAACUUUGAGUCAUACAUAGUAUCCACUGUUUUGUUUGUUACAUGAAAUUUGAUCUGUGUCUUGUGAAUAGGUGGCAUGGGAAGUUAUCUACUUGGGAUGAGCCCUUACAUUGGUGCCCAACUUAAUGGGGGAAACACACCAAUCAAUACAAAAGGCCUCUCCCUAGGUUGGAUGUUUGCUUUCCUCUUUGUUGUUAGCUUUGUUGGCCUCUUCUCUAUUGUGCCUUUAAGAAAGGUUGGUAGCAACAAAACUCCAACAUUAUUCUGCACUUUCAUGUUCAUUGAUCCAAAUUUGAUUGCACUUUGUUGAAGUUGUGAAACUUAAAUUGCCAUUUCACAGCUGAUGAUUUUGAAGUACAAACUGACAUACCCCAGUGGAACUGCCACAGCUCUUCUUGUCAAUAGCUUGCACACUCCAAAAGGAGCAAAGCUAGCAAAGUAAGUAUUAAUGGAAUUCACAUGCACAAAUGGAUAAACUGAUAUUUUUAAAAGUUGUCACCCAUCAACCUAUCUGAUUCAGACACUCUUCUUAAAUGUUGUGUUUAUGUCGGACACACAUAUCAGACUGACAUUCGUACGACACUUGUAAGACACGUAUCAGUGAAAUGUCAAAUUCAAAAAAUAUUUGUUAGAUUUAUGACAAUUCUGAGACAGUUCUAACACAAUUUUAAAAGGGAAGAAAUACAUUAAUUUUUUAAAAAUUCAAAAUUUAUUGUAUAAAUUUUUAUUAUGAUUAUAAAAAUAAAGAACAAAUUCUUUUGAAUUAGCCAUGAAAAACAUCUAUCUGCUAAAAAAAAAUCUGAAAAAUUUGAAACAUACUUGUGCACAUAAAUUUUUAUUGUCAAUUUAUAUAAUUUAUAAUUAUAUAAUAUAUAGAUCUGUGUCCCGUAUCCUACAUUUUAAAAAUUAUAUGUAAUUUUGUAUCCAUCUCAAAAUCGUAUAUUUUUUCAGUGUCCGUGUGCAUAUGUACUACGUGACUAAUUUAACCUUAUUAUUAUUCUUAUGUAAACAGGAAACAAGUUGCUGUGCUCUUCAAAAGCUUCUCUGGAAGCUUUGUCUUUGGUUUUUUCCAGUGGUUCUUCACUGCAGGAGAUGAUUGUGGAUUUAGCAGUUUUCCCACAUUUGGUCUCAAAGCUUACAGUAAAAUGUAUGCAUAUGCAUCUUACAUAUUAUGAUUAGAAACUCACUCAUUUCCAUUUGACAAAAUAUGUCUUUACUACAUGAAUUUAACUAAAAUAUAACUGUAAGAUUGUUGAAUUUUUACAACUCCUGCUACAUAUGUUUCCAGCAACUCAUUUUCCUCCCUAUGACUGUAUAGUAUUUCAUUGAUAAUGACAAUAAUCAAACUUCAAAAUGUGUAGGUUCUACUUUGAUUUCUCACCUACCUAUGUUGGAGUUGGAAUGAUUUGCCCUUAUGUGAUAAAUGCAUCAUUGCUUCUUGGAGCUGUAAUUUCAUGGGGUAUUCUGUGGCCCUGGAUUGAGCACAAGAAAGGAAUCUGGUAUAGUGCAGAUCUACCCACUAGCAGUCUGAAUGGUGUCCAAGGAUAUAGGGUAUACAUAUCCACUUAGCAACCUUUAUUGUUCAUAAUUUUUCUUUAAAAAGUUGAUGAGAUCAUUAUGUAAUUUGAUAUCUCGGUUAGGCUGACACUUCAACCAACAACAAUCAUCUGUCAUUACAUGAAAAUAAUAUUAUUAAAAAAGAAAAAGAAAAAUAUGGAGUAUUGUUCAUAAUGUUUUGUAUGCAUUUCAUUUAGAAAUUAAAAUUUGUGAGUAGUACUAAUCAUAUGAAAAAUCCAUGAUCAGAUCUUCACAGCAAUUGCCAUGAUGCUGGGGGAUGGUCUUUAUCAUUGCAUCAUCAUGCUACUGAGAGUUGCCUAUAGUCUUAUCUCCCAAUACAUUCAGAAAAAAGAGUCAUCCUCUGCAAACCAUGAAGAUGCUGAUCAAAACACAAGUGAUGAUCUUGAUUCUCAACUUCGCACAGAGUAUUUCUCGAAAGAUCAGAUACCCUCUUGGGUUGCUUUCAGUGGCUACAUUGUUCUUGCAGUUAUUUCCAUCAUAACUGUGUCACACAUAUUUCCUCAGCUGAAAUGGUAUCAUGUGCUGAUCACAUACCUCAUUGCUCCUGUUCUGGCCUUCUGCAAUGCCUAUGGAUGUGGCCUCACUGAUUGGUCCUUGGCAUCAAACUAUGGCAAAGUGGCCAUCAUAAUAUUCAGUUCCUG